rnacentral:rRNA from 1 species
GACGAACGCUGGCGGCGUGCUUAACACAUGCAAGUCGAACGGAAAGGCCCUGCUUUUGUGGGGUGCUCGAGUGGCGAACGGGUGAGUAACACGUGAGUAACCUGCCCUUGACUUUGGGAUAACUUCAGGAAACUGGGGCUAAUACCGGAUAGGAGCUCCUGCUGCAUGGUGGGGGUUGGAAAGUUUCGGCGGUUGGGGAUGGACUCGCGGCUUAUCAGCUUGUUGGUGGGGUAGUGGCUUACCAAGGCUUUGACGGGUAGCCGGCCUGAGAGGGUGACCGGCCACAUUGGGACUGAGAUGCGGCCCAGACUCCUACGGGAGGCAGCAGUGGGGAAUAUUGCACAAUGGACGGAAGCCUGAUGCAGCAACGCCGCGUGCGGGAUGACGGCCUUCGGGUUGUAAACCGCUUUCGCCUGUGACGAAGCGUGAGUGACGGUAAUGGGUAAAGAAGCACCGGCUAACUACGUG